CACAAAGGCAGCUCAGGGACCCAAGGUCUGACUCUCUGUGUGACCUUACACAAGUCCCUCUGUCUAGAGUCUGUCUUCCUGUCUGUAAAAUGGGUCUGGAGGAAAAGGGCCAAAUCAGGUGGUCCCAGCAAGCCCUUCCUUCCAUCUCAGUGCAACCAUGACUCUGUCAAUCCUCUCUUUACAGUUUGGCUCAGAUUCCCCCAGUUCUGCAAGGGUAGGGGCUUGCCAGGGGUCACAUGAAGUACCUAGUAAACCCAAGUAGAGAAAUCUUCAGUCAACAGAAAAGAAAGAGUACAAAUGUUGACAAAGACAAGUGCGAGAAUGUUCAUCACAGCCAGAAGCCUCCCUGAUGGCCCCUGAUGGGACCCUCUGAGGUCCCUCUCUGGAGUGUCUGCAGUGUUUACUCCAAAAAACUUAUUUAUAAUAGUGCCUAGCUGAAAACGGCUUCCACAUCCCUCAGUAGAAGAAUGGAUAAAGAAAUAAUGACAUUUGUGCAAGGAAGAGUAUAUAGCAGUUGAAAACAGACUAGUUCUCUAGGCCAUCUUCAUUUUAUGGGAUUCCAAUAGUCACAGUUACCAUGGUUUAGUUAAAUAUAGUACCAGCCUCUCAAAAAGGUGUUUAAAUUUCAGUCCAUGGUUCAUUUUUAAACACAAGUAAAGGUAAGAAGCACAAACUUCCUUGCUAGCUCUUCAGUCCACAGGUUGCUACAUAAAUGGCAGAUGUACAACACGAACUGUGACCAAUCAUGUCACUUCUUUCAAAGCCUGUUGGUGACUAGACACUGGGCAUCUACUGUUCAGCUCACACACAGACAGCAAAGUGUGUUGUUGUGUUGCCUCCUUGUCUCCAAGUUAGAAACCCAUGUGACAGCUUACAAACAUCUUUAAUCAAAAGAAUGACUUAGUUAACAGAGCUGAAAGUGUAACAGAGAAUUGAAAAAAACAAUAAUUCUGGAAGUGAAAUUUGCAUCAAAGGCAAAUGGAGUUAUGGAGGAAAUAGCUGGCUGUGGGAAUGUUGACACGGCUGCUAUUUGUAGACAUGCAGCAAAGGAACCUAAAGACAUAAAUGAGGUUGUGAUAAAAAGGAUGAGAAAGUUCCAGAGAAAGUGACCCUACCCGAAGACUUUAUACUGAAGGCACUUUCAGAGAUACUUCACAACACUGAAAAUACAAAGAUAAAAGCUGAUCCAAACAGCAAACAGUAGAACAAUUUUCGAAGGCAUAGAAAAGAAUGUUUGCCACGUUGCAAGUCACAUGACAAGUGUUGUUCAAACAGUUCUUGGUAAAUUAUUCCACCAUGAAAUAAAACUUACA
rnacentral:lncRNA from 1 species